GACGAACGCUGGCGGCGUGCCUAAUACAUGCAAGUCGAACGCAGUGGGUACGGGUGAGUAACACGUGGGUAACCUCCUAUCAGAAGGGCUAACAUUUGGAAACACGCACUAAACCGAUACUGAUGGAUGGACCCGCGGUGCAUUAGCUAGUUGGUGAGGUAACGGCUAACAAAGGCGACGAUGCAUAGCGGACCUGAGAGGGUGAUCGGCCACACUGGGACUGAGACACGGCCCAGACUCCUACGGGAGGCAGCAGUAGGGAAUCGUCGGCAAUGGACGAAAGUCUGACCGAGCAACGACGCGUGAGUGAAGAAGGUUUUCGGAUCGUAAAGCUCUGUUGGUAGGGAAGCGGUAUCUAACCAGAAAGCCACGGCUAAAUACGUGCCAGCAGCCGCGGUAAUUC
rnacentral:rRNA from 1 species